UCCUCGGUAGCUCAAUUGGCAGAGCGGGUGGCUGUUAACCACUAGGUUCGAGGUUCAAGUCCUCGCCGAGGAGCCA
rnacentral:tRNA from 1 species